rfam:Picea glauca, whole genome shotgun sequence.
AUGUACAUUCCUACAGAGUUAAUGCAUUGUAUCCCAUCUGAAAUCCGUAGUUAAGUGCACUUGGGCUAGAUUAGUACUGGGAUGGGUGAUCUCCUGGGAAGUCCUAGUGUUUUACAUG